UUCGGUGCGGGCUGCGAGAGCGGUACCAAAUCGUAGCAAACUAAGAAUACUAGGCACUGCUUUCCGUUAACCAGUGAGACGGUGGGGGAUAAGCUCCAUCGUCAAGAGGGAAACAGCCCAGAUCACCAGCUAAGGCCCCAAAAUGACCGCUAAGUGGCAAAGGAGGUGAGAAUGCUGAAACAACCAGGAGGUUUGCUUAGAAGCAGCCACCCUUUAAAGAGUGCGUAAUAGCUCACUGGUGGAGCGUUCUUGCGCCGAAAAUGAACGGGACUAAGCGGUCUGCCGAAGCUGUGGGUAAUAUCAGUAUUUGAUAUUACGGUAGGGGAGCGUUCCGCUCUAGGGUGAAGCAUCAACGUAAGUUGGUGUGGACAAAGCGGAAGUGAGAAUGUCGGCUUGAGUAACGAAAACAUUGGUGAGAAUCCAAUGCCCCGAAAACCUAAGGCUUCCUCCACUAGGCUCGUCCAUGGGGGGUUAGUCGGGACCUAAGGCCAGGCCGAAAGGCGUAGUCGAUGGAAAACAGGUUAAUAUUCCUGUACUAAUUUUGAAGUGGUACCGAGGGACGAAGGAGGUAACAGUUGGCCAAUAUUGGAUGUUGGCGGAAACGUUCAAGGUGAUGAGAGAUAGAAUAAAAACUAUUCUUGAGCUGAGGCGUGAUACGGUAUUAUUCACUGUCUGAGAGCUUUGCUCGAAUUCAAAAGAAUACUCAAUUAGUUAUCAAACUUCCUAGAAAAGCUCGAACUUCCAAUACUUCAAAAUUACCCGUACCCGAAACCGACACAGGUAGGUAGGUAGA
rnacentral:rRNA from 1 species